rnacentral:rRNA from 1 species
UGCAAGUCGAACGCUUUGUGGUUCAACUGAUUUGAAGAGCUUGCUCAGAUAUGACGAUGGACAUUGCAAAGAGUGGCGAACGGGUGAGUAACACGUGGGAAACCUACCUCUUAGCAGGGGAUAACAUUUGGAAACAGAUGCUAAUACCGUAUAACAAUGACAACCGCAUGGUUGUUAUUUAAAAGAUGGUUCUGCUAUCACUAAGAGAUGGUCCCGCGGUGCAUUAGCUAGUUGGUAAGGUAAUGGCUUACCAAGGCGAUGAUGCAUAGCCGAGUUGAGAGACUGAUCGGCCACAAUGGGACUGAGACACGGCCCAUACUCCUACGGGAGGCAGCAGUAGGGAAUCUUCCACAAUGGGCGAAAGCCUGAUGGAGCAACGCCGCGUGUGUGAUGAAGGGUUUCGGCUCGUAAAACACUGUUGUAAGAGAAGAAUGACAUUGAGAGUAACUGUUCAAUGUGUGACGGUAUCUUACCAGAAAGGAACGGCUAAAUACGUGCCAGCAGCCGCGGUAAUACGUAUGUUCCAAGCGUUAUCCGGAUUUAUUGGGCGUAAAGCGAGCGCAGACGGUUAUUUAAGUCUGAAGUGAAAGCCCUCAGCUCAACUGAGGAAUUGCUUUGGAAACUGGAUGACUUGAGUGCAGUAGAGGAAAGUGGAACUCCAUGUGUAGCGGUGAAAUGCGUAGAUAUAUGGAAGAACACCAGUGGCGAAGGCGGCUUUCUGGACUGUAACUGACGUUGAGGCUCGAAAGUGUGGGUAGCAAACAGGAUUAGAUACCCUGGUAGUCCACACCGUAAACGAUGAGUGCUAGGUGUUUGAGGGUUUCCGCCCUUAAGUGCCGCAGCUAACGCAUUAAGCACUCCGCCUGGGGAGUACGACCGCAAGGUUGAAACUCAAAGGAAUUGACGGGGACCCGCACAAGCGGUGGAGCAUGUGGUUUAAUUCGAAGCAACGCGAAGAACCUUACCAGGUCUUGACAUCCCUUGACAACUCCAGAGAUGGAGCGUUCCCUUCGGGGACAAGGUGACAGGUGGUGCAUGGUUGUCGUCAGCUCGUGUCGUGAGAUGUUGGGUUAAGUCCCGCAACGAGCGCAACCCUUAUUACUAGUUGCCAGCAUUCAGUUGGGCACUCUAGUGAGACUGCCGGUGACAAACCGGAGGAAGGUGGGGAUGACGUCAAAUCAUCAUGCCCCUUAUGACCUGGGCUACACACGUGCUACAAUGGCGUAUACAACGAGUUGCCAACCCGCGAGGGUGAGCUAAUCUCUUAAAGUACGUCUCAGUUCGGAUUGUAGGCUGCAACUCGCCUACAUGAAGUCGGAAUCGCUAGUAAUCGCGGAUCAGCACGCCGCGGUGAAUACGUUCCCGGGUCUUGUACACACCGCCCGUCACACCAUGAGAGUUUGUAACACCCCAAAGCCGGUGGGGUAACCUUCGGGAGCCAGCCGUCUA